UACAGAGGGGGCGAGCGUUGUUCGGAAUUACUGGGCGUAAAGGGCGCGUAGGCGGCCCGCUAAGUCGAACGUGAAAUCCCCAGGCUCAACCUGGGAACUGCGUCCGAUACUGGCAGGCUUGAGUCCGGGAGAGGGAUGUGGAAUUCCAGGUGUAGCGGUGAAAUGCGUAGAUAUGACAUAGAACACCAAUUGCGAAGGCAGCUGGCUACGCAUAUAUUGACACUGAGGCACGAAAGCGUGGGGAUCAAACAGG
rnacentral:rRNA from 1 species